rfam:Brucella melitensis biovar Abortus 2308 chromosome I, complete sequence, strain 2308
GGGGCCGUAGCUCAGCUGGGAGAGCACCUGCUUUGCAAGCAGGGGGUCGUCGGUUCGAUCCCGUCCGGCUCCA